rnacentral:rRNA from 1 species
AGCGAACGCUGGCGGCAGGCCUAACACAUGCAAGUCGAACGAAGUCUUCGGACUUAGUGGCGGACGGGUGAGUAUCACGUGGGAACGUGCCUUUAGGUUCGGAAUAACUCAGGGAAACUUGUGCUAGUACCGAAUGUGCCCUUCGGGGGAAAGAUUUAUCGCCUUUAGAGCGGCCCGCGUCUGAUUAGCUAGUUGGUGGGGUAAUGGCCCACCAAGGCUACGAUCAGUAGCUGGUCUGAGAGGAUGACCAGCCACAUUGGGACUGAGACACGGCCCAAACUCCUACGGGAGGCAGCAGUGGGGAAUCUUGCGCAAUGGGCGAAAGCCUGACGCAGCCAUGCCGCGUGGAUGAUGAAGGUCUUAGGAUUGUAAAAUCCUUUCACCGGUGAAGAUAAUGACUGUAGCCGGAGAAGAAGCCCCGGCUAACUUCGUGCCAGCAGCCGCCGUAACAC